AUUCUAAACGGCCAUUGGAACUUCUCCUUAUAGGCUGGUGUAUGGCAAGGCAUGCCAUUUGCCAGUUGAACUUGAACACAAUGCCAUGUAGGCAUUAAAGAAGCUGAAUAUGGAUUGCAGGGAGGCAACCAAGCUUAGGUUGUUUCAACUAAAUUAGAUGGAUGAAUUCUGGUACCAAGAAUAUGAGAGUGCAGCCUUGUACAAGGAGAGGAUAAAGCAUUAACAUGAUAAAAAGAUCCUCAAUCGAGACUUCCAGCCAAAAGAUAAUGUCCUGUUGUACAACUUACGACUGAAGCUUUUCCUAGGCAACCUGAAAUCCAAAUGGUCCGAGCUUUUCCAAGUGGUAAGUGCUUCACCCAAAGGCGCAAUUGAAUUGAAGUCUAGAGAUGAGACUCAGACUUUUAAGGUGAAUGGAUAGAGGGUAAAGCAUUACCAUGGCUGCAUUGAUGGUGACAUAAUUGUUGAUAGGCACCGCUUGAAGCAUGGUUAUACUCCUGAUCCUGGGGGAAGUGGUAGCACCGUCGUGCCGCGACGUUAAAUCAAGCGCUCCUUGGAAGGCAACCCAAGUUUAAUUUCAUGAUGUGUGAUUUAUUUUAUGUGGAUUGUUUUGAUGUUUAUUUUUUAUAGGAAUGCAAAAAAUUGCAGGUCAAUUGAAAGCCAAAGGUUCAAAAGGGGAAGAUCAAUGAACCAGAAAAAAAAUUGCCCCUCAGGUAAAGUGAUCCGCGUCGCAUUUCGGAGAAUGCGAACGCAGUUGGUCACGCAUAUCCGAGUCAGUGUACCUGGUAAGUAAUGGUGAAAUUGAGGCAAAAUGUGGAACGACAUGCGUCGCAUUCUCCCAUCUGCAGAUGAGAAUGUAUCGCAUUUCACUAACUCAAUCGUGUCGAGAUCCGACCCGCAAAGCAAAUUCCCUCUUUAUUUUAAAACAUAGUUUAGGCGGUUUUCAUUCAACCUAAAUAAUUAGAACACAAACGAAAACGACUCUAUCACCCUAAGAAUUCCAACCAUCUCAACUCAUGAUCUCACCACCGUAUUAGCUCAUCUCUAUACUCUUGUCUCCGUCGUCUAACAGCAUGACUUCCAGGCGAACCUCACAUCUAAGGGCUGCUAGAAAAAAAUGACGAGAAAAAAGAUGCCCCAUCUUCCUUGACAAGAAAUCAACAGGCAGUUGAGUCUGAUUCCUCAUCUGACCCAGACAUAGAAGCCAUACUGAGGCUGUCUAAAGAGGAAGAGGCCCGACAAGCUGAACUUCGCCGGAAAAAGAGGGAGGAUGCCCUUCGUUUCAGUAGGAUCCUUGGGAUAAAGGAAAUGUUCUUAGAAAGCAGAGAGAAAAGAAAUUUCAACGAUGAGAAACAAUUCAGUUUGAAUGGGUUGAAAGAGAGUUUCCCCAGAGUUUUGGAGCUGAUCAACAAGCAUGACUGGGAUGUGUUCACAGAUCCACCGAGGAAGUACAACCAGACUUUGGUCCGCGAAUUUUAUGCGGUGUAUGCUGCAGCUAUGAAAAAACUCAAGUGGUCGGGACUUAAAAAGCUGCGACACUGCCUCGAUAGUGUUCAAGUUAGAGGUGUUUAGGUUGAAUGUCACGCCAAAGUAAUGAACAAGUAUUAUUUUGCACGUGACUUACCUGUAGCCGAAGAAUUUAACACGAGGAUGGCAAACUAGGAUAGUGAGUUGCAUCGGUGAUCUCAGCCGAAGAAGAGCCAGCAUGGCUGAACCCGAACUUCAAAAUUAAGAGGAAUAGCCUCACCAUUGAGGCGAAACAUUGGCUAAACUUCAUCACUUGCCGCUUGAUGCCAACAAAGAAUGACUAGGACAGCCUCAUUGAAAAAGAGUCUUGUUAUCAUAUAAAUGUGGGCGAAAUAAUUGCUGCUGAAAUGGGGCAUCGAUCUAACCAUGGUAAUACCUUAUUGCCUUUCCCAUGCUUGGCUACAAGGUUGUGCUUAGUGGCCAAGAUACCCAAACUCCCCCGAAUUGAGAUCGCGGUCGAUGCAUAUGGGGAAAUUGACAUUCUCAACAGCAAAGAUGACAUGAAACCGGCUACAAAGAAAAGAAAAGGAGAUUCAUUCCCUGCUAGAGGGCCCGACACUAAGAUUAAGCGCUUGGUAAGGGGUGAGAGCGAGGCAGUUGCUACUGCUUUUACCAGAACCCCUCAGAGACUUCAUCCACCUCCUACCCCUAUUUGAGGCCUGAUCAAGCUCUCUCGCGGGAGCGAUUGCUACAAAUGGCCAAUGUUACUGCUCUUCACAACCAGAAGCUGAAUAAUUUGGUGGUGUCAGUCCCGAAAUGGAUAGAAAAAGCUCUUGUGCCCAUCCGCUUGUCCAUAGUGAAGCUCGAAGCAAGGGUUGACAGCCUUGAGGCGAAGGACAGAAACAACGAUAUUACAGACAUCAGAACUGAGUUGACCAAAGUUAAAACAGAUAUUCAGUUGCUCAAGCCUGACUUGAGAAUAUUUGAUAUCCCAGUGCCACCACCAGUAAAUGUGACAGAUGAUACGACUCAGCUUGUCAAGGAGUGCAGGGGGGCUCUGAUUCAGAGACAGAUGAAGAGAUUGAGAAUACAGAUGAGCCUGCGAAAGGAAAGAAAGUUGUUGAUGAGGUGAUCGAGGUAGCAGGGGUAGCAGAGAUGCCUGAGAAAGCAUAGAUACAGAUUGCGACAGCCCAGUCCAUAGAGAAGUAUGCUGAUAGGCUAAAAAGAGUCGGAUCGAGCUCUCAGGGAGCUACUAAGCAGUCGUCUUAAGAUGGCAGCUUAGACAUCCUGAUCUCUCUAUUACUCCAAUAGCACACUCAGAUGCAGCAGUCCCUCCUGCGCAGUCAUCGCCUGCAGCUCUUGCCACCGCCGUAUUAGUUACCGAUCCCAGUUUUACGGCCUCCGAGGCCCAGACUGAUCAGCGCGCUUAGUGCGCCUUAGGGAGUCCUUACCAUCACUUAUAUUUGAUUUGAUGCAUUAAGGACAAUGCAUGCUUUUUUGGUUGGGGUGGGGCUAUUUGAUUUUUGGUAUAUUUUGUUGUAUAUAUGUGUUUAGGACCCCCCCCCCCCCCCCCCCCUUGACUUUUCUGUGCCAUGGUUCUUUUCCUGAGGGGUUAUUAGUUCUGUUGAACCUGGACUGUUUAGGUUGUUGCUUAGGUAAAAUAGAGUAAUUUUGACUUAUAUGGUGGUGAUUUUUGAACUUAUGGCAUGUAUUGUUGAAAACUGUAAUGAGAUGAACCUUACAAAAUUUGAUGCAGACUCAGAAAA